rnacentral:rRNA from 1 species
UACGAAGGGGGCUAGCGUUGUUCGGAAUCACUGGGCGUAAAGCGCACGUAGGCGGAUGUGCCAGUCAGGGGUGAAAUCCCGGAGCUCAACUCCGGAACUGCCUCUGAUACAGCAUGUCUUGAGUCCGGAAGAGGUGGGUGGAAUUCCUAGUGUAGAGGUGAAAUUCGUAGAUAUCAGGAGGAACACCAGUGGCGAAGGCGGCUUUCUGGACGGUAACUGACGCUGAGACGCGAAAGCGUGGGGAGCAAACAGG